GUUGGUGAACCAGCGGAGGGAUCAUUACCGAAGUUACCCUUCAAACCCAUUGUGAACUUACCCCUGACGCGUUGCCUCGGCGGACGUCCAGGGCGGGUCCGGCUCCGGCCGCCCCGUCCCGGCCCCCGCCGGCAGCGCCAAACUCUUACUGUAAAGCGGACUGCAUAUUCUGAUUAGAUUUUUAAAACAAGUCAAAACUUUUAACAACGGAUCUCUUGGUUCUG
rnacentral:misc_RNA from 1 species